ACUGGAGACUCUCAGUCUGUCAGGCUGUCAGAUCUCAGAGGAAGGCUGUUCUUCUCUGGUCUCAGCUCUGAGCUCCAACCCUUCCCAUCUGAGUGAGCUUGACCUGAGCUACAAUAAUCCAGGAGACUCAGGAGUGAAGCUCCUGUCUGCUGGACUGGAGGAUCCACUAUGGAGACUGGACACUCUCAGGGUGGAGCCUGCUGGAGUCAGAUGGUUGACACCGGGUCUG